rnacentral:rRNA from 1 species
UCAGCGGCGGACGGGUGAGUAACACGUGGGUAACCUGCCUGUAAGACUGGGAUAACUCCGGGAAACCGGGGCUAAUACCGGAUGCUUGAUUGAACCGCAUGGUUCAAUCAUAAAAGGUGGCUUUCAGCUACCACUUACAGAUGGACCCGCGGCGCAUUAGCUAGUUGGUGAGGUAACGGCUCACCAAGGCGACGAUGCGUAGCCGACCUGAGAGGGUGAUCGGCCACACUGGGACUGAGACACGGCCCAGACUCCUACGGGAGGCAGCAGUAGGGAAUCUUCCGCAAUGGACGAAAGUCUGACGGAGCAACGCCGCGUGAGUGAUGAAGGUUUUCGGAUCGUAAAACUCUGUUGUUAGGGAAGAACAAGUACCGUUCGAAUAGGGCGGYACCUUGACGGUACCUAACCAGAAAGCCACG